rnacentral:piRNA from 1 species
CCAAGUGCUGCAAUUAAAGGGGUGCACCU